CGAUGUCGACUUGGAGGUUGUGCCCUUGAGGCGUGGCUUCCGGAGCUAACGCGUUAAGUCGACCGCCUGGGGAGUACGGCCGCAAGGUUAAAACUCAAAUGAAUUGACGGGGGCCCGCACAAGCGGUGGAGCAUGUGGUUUAAUUCGAUGCAACGCGAAGAACCUUACCUGGUCUUGACAUCCACAGAACUUUCCAGAGAUGGAUUGGUGCCUUCGGGAACUGUGAGACAGGUGCUGCAUGGCUGUCGUCAGCUCGUGUUGUGAAAUGUUGGGUUAAGUCCCGCAACGAGCGCAACCCUUAUCCUUUGUUGCCAGCGGUCCGGCCGGGAACUCAAAGGAGACUGCCAGUGAUAAACUGGAGGAAGGUGGGGAUGACGUCAAGUCAUCAUGGCCCUUACGACCAGGGCUACACACGUGCUACAAUGGCGCAUACAAAGAGAAGCGACCUCGCGAGAGCAAGCGGACCUCAUAAAGUGCGUCGUAGUCCGGAUUGGAGUCUGCAACUCGACUCCAUGAAGUCGGAAUCGCUAGUAAUCGUGGAUCAGAAUGCCACGGUGAAUACGUUCCCGGGCCUUGUACACACCGCCCGUCACACCAUGGGAGUGGGUUGCAAAAGAAGUAGGUAGCUUAACCUUCGGGAGGGCGCUUACCACUUUGUGAUUCAUGACUGGGGUGAAGUCGUAACAAGGUAACCGUAGGGGAACCUGCGGUUGGAUCACCUCCUU
rnacentral:rRNA from 1 species